rnacentral:rRNA from 1 species
GACGAACGCUGGCGGCGUGCCUAACACAUGCAAGUCGAACGGAGCACUUCGGUGCUUAGUGGCGAACGGGUGAGUAACGCGUGAGAAACCUGCCUCUCAGUGGGGGACAACAGUUGGAAACGACUGCUAAUACCGCAUAAUGUAUUCGGAAGGCAUCUUCUGAAUACCAAAGCUUUAUGUGCUGAGAGAUGGUCUCGCGUCUGAUUAGCUAGAUGGCGGGGUAACGGCCCACCAUGGCGACGAUCAGUAGCCGGUCUGAGAGGAUGAACGGCCACAUUGGGACUGAGAUACGGCCCAGACUCCUACGGGAGGCAGCAGUGGGGAAUAUUGGGCAAUGGGGGAAACCCGUAGACCCA